rnacentral:lncRNA from 9 species
ACUCCCCCACCCCCCCACCUCCCCACCCCCGGCCACAAUAAAGAAUUAACUGGCCCCAAUGUCAGUAGUACUGAGGCUAAAGAAGCCAGAAUUAGAGGGGUCACUGCUUUUUUCUCUUCUUAGCUUCUUUCUUUUCUUGACUUUGUUUUCUCCCCUGAAGGUGGGUUUCUUUGCUGCUUCUUGGACAAGUUAGGAAAUGAUUGGCCCAACUUUUCCCUCUCUCUCCUACUAAAUGUGACCUUUAAGCUCCCACAUCCAAGUUCAACUCACUAUACAAAGAGACUACUCUUUGUCCUGAUACCACAAUUUCAGGAGAGAGAAUUUUCAUCGGCCCAGGCAUUUCCUCUGUUCCAAGCAGACAUGUCAAAAAACAUGUCCUGGCAAUUCCUCUUUUUGCUACUUUUUGGAGUUGUUCUCUGGAAAAUUUCCUGAUAUUGCCAGGAAGCUGCCACUUUGAAGGAUUUCAUCUCUGAAAGAGAAAGACUAGGAGGUGAGACCUUGGGAGGCCAAGUGCUGUCCGUGGCUGAGCUGGAGAGUACCUGUGUUGAGCGUGUCAUUCAUCUUAAAGUGAUUGACCAUUUAUGGGGAUGGUGAGAAGGAGAAGAGCAUAAAGCAGAUCAAUAGAAAGAAGGCAGAAAAUGGAGAAACAGGAAGAAGGAGACUGAGUUGGGGGAGUACUGGGAGAGCAAUGGAUUUGAGGAAAAGAUGAAGAUGAUAAGAUUAUGUGUGAUGAGCCUGGAGAAGUAGAUAUCAAUGUCUCCUGCUGCCGGACAUGGCUGUGUGGCCCAGUUUUGGACAAUGAGAGAUCAAGCUCCCUGGGCACUCCUGACUGCACAUUCUUGAUUUUCUGCCAGCCCUUGACCUUCUGGGGUAAGAUGUGAAUCGGG